GGCUGGGAGAGCAAUCUGGCUGUGACAUCUGUCACCCCACUGAUUGCUAGGGUUGAUGCAGCUGAUCUGGCUGGCUGGGUGGGUUCAUCCUUCCUCUCUCUCUGCUCCAUGUGUGUCCCUUGUGAAGCUGUGUGCUCAGUAAGUCCAAGAGGAUGACCUUCCCUGAUAGAAAAAGACCAUUCUUUGGUCAAGGAAAAAGGAGUAGAAUAGCUUCAUUCCCAUGCCAGAACCUCCAAAUGAGCUCUCACAUAGUUCCAAGAAAAAAAAAAAAAAAAAAAGGCUACCAUGAUUAACUGAAGCUUAAUUUCCACAAAUAUCUGACUGCCUAUCGCU
rnacentral:snRNA from 1 species